UUUUUAUAAAAAAAAACCCCCUCGCCCCCCCCCCCAAAAACCCCCUUUAUAUAUAAGUUUUUUCUUUCGUCAGACGAACGCUGGCGGCGUGCCUAAUACAUGCAAGUCGAGCGCGGGAAGCGAGCUGAUCCCUUCGGGGUGACGCUCGUGGAACGAGCGGCGGACGGGUGAGUAACACGUGGGCAACCUGCCUGUAAGAUCGGGAUAACUCCGGGAAACCGGGGCUAAUACCGGGUAAUACUUUCUUUCGCAUGAAGGAAAGUUGAAAGAUGGCUUCUCGCUAUCACUUACAGAUGGGCCCGCGGCGCAUUAGCUAGUUGGUGAGGUAACGGCUCACCAAGGCGACGAUGCGUAGCCGACCUGAGAGGGUGAUCGGCCACACUGGGACUGAGACACGGCCCAGACUCCUACGGGAGGCAGCAGUAGGGAAUCUUCCGCAAUGGACGAAAGUCUGACGGAGCAACGCCGCGUGAACGAUGAAGGUCUUCGGAUCGUAAAGUUCUGUUGUUAGGGAAGAACAAGUACCGUGCGAAUAGAGCGGUACCUUGACGGUACCUAACGAGGAAGCCCCGGCUAACUACGUGCCAGCAGCCGCGGUAAUACGUAGGGGGCAAGCGUUGUCCGGAAUUAUUGGGCGUAAAGCGCGCGCAGGCGGUUCCUUAAGUCUGAUGUGAAAGCCCACGGCUCAACCGUGGAGGGUCAUUGGAAACUGGGGAACUUGAGGACAGAAGAGGAGAGUGGAAUUCCACGUGUAGCGGUGAAAUGCGUAGAUAUGUGGAGGAACACCAGUGGCGAAGGCGACUCUCUGGUCUGUUUCUGACGCUGAGGUGCGAAAGCGUGGGUAGCAAACAGGAUUAGAUACCCUGGUAGUCCACGCCGUAAACGAUGAGUGCUAGGUGUUAGGGGGCUUCCACCCCUUAGUGCUGAAGUUAACGCAUAAGCACUCCGCAUGGAGACGCGACGUG
rnacentral:rRNA from 1 species